UGAAGGAAGUUUACAGUUGAUAUAUCUCUAGCUCCGAGGAAUUAUCGCUCGGUGACUUGGGUAUGUCCACUCAAGUUGUAAUGAAAUUCUGCAGUUUGUGAAGGAAGUUUACAGGUAAACAAUUUUCCUCCAUUUGUCUCUGAACAUGGACCGUGAGCUUCAGUGCUAAUCAGUUUUGUGGUGUCAUCUUUUGCCUUGAGAUGACCUUGGGAGAAGAUCAGCCCGGAAGUUACCUGAGAUGCAUAAGAAGAGCCUGAGCACUGAUCACGACUCGGUGAUUCGUGAAGUUACCGAGUACCGGAACCAGAGCUAUCCGCGCGGAUCCCAGAGAGUGCUCCUUGCUCUCUCAGAAAGAAGAUGACAGACAAGAUGCAAAAUGGAAAUGACAGACAAGAUGUGCAAUGAAACAUCUCCAUUGCCAUAUGAGGAGUUGGACCUCGAGCUCGAGGGUGAGGAAAACUUGGGAACAUGCAUGACAGUUAUCAACGAAUUCAAGAUAUGAAGUCGUCAAUCAGUACAUGGGUUUAUCACCCGGGACGACGACAGAGCCAGCGCAGGUUUGCAAUAGCUACUGUACUACAAAAGCAUCGAUGGACGAUGGUCGAUCUGCACACGGCCGGUGAAACAGAAACAUGGUGACGAUCAGAUCCGGCAAGCGUCCCCUCAAUUUGCAGGGUGCAGGUGGUGGGCUGGCCGCCGGUAGGCGCGUACAGGAAACCAGCGGGCGGUGGGCUAUACGUCAAGGUGAGUAUGGACGGCGCGUCGUACCUGUGCGCGGUCGCCGGGCAGCAGCGGCGCGCGGUCGCCGAGGAGCAGCGGCGCGGUCGCCGGGGAGCAGGUCGCCGGGAGCAGCGGCGCAAAGGUCACCGGGGAGCAGGUCGCCGGGGAGCAGCGGUC